CUCACACUGUCACAGUUGACUGGGAGACUUGAAUAGAAUAAAGUCAUCAUUAACGUUAUUAGUAACACCUGUGCUUUUCCUGCUAUGACAAGUCAAACUGUCUGCUGUGAUAAAGGCCUGCGCUCUUGAGGCUGAACGGGAGAAAAUCCCUGCAGCCAGAUUCCAAAAUCUUGUGGAAAGCCUUUCUCAGUGCAGCAGGCAGUCAGAUGGUCAGGCUGAAUCUCCCAGACGACCCAAAUCCAGAGGCCUGACAUUAUUUCCUCUCAUGGUAACCAGACAUGCCGAGAACAUGAUGGUUUCUACUUUGGCCAUCUGUGGGAGCUUUUUAGGCAGUGAAAAGACAUUACAUACCCUGCAUGAAAACCAUGUUUACCCCAAUUUUGGGAGGUUUUUCGUGUUACUCUUGAAAGAAAGGCCACAUGGUCACCUAAUGUGCUGAGUAGGUUUCAUAACCACAGAGGCAGUGACACCCAUUAAAACCCUGUUGUGUAAUUUCUGUGUCAUUUUGAAAAUAAGGACAUUCAAGUCUGGUGAACACAUACAGCUCUCAGGGGAGAAAAGAUGGUCAUCCAUACAGCUUCAACAGCACACUAAUCUCAUUUAAUAAAUUUUAUUGAUCAGCUCUCA